rnacentral:rRNA from 1 species
AGGACGAACGCUGGCGGCGCGCCUAACACAUGCAAGUCGAACGGAGCAUUUGAGCUUGCUCAAAUGCUUAGUGGCGAACGGGUGAGUAACACGUGAGCAAUCUGCCUUCGAGUGGGGGACAACAGUUGGAAACGACUGCUAAUACCGCAUAAUGCAGUUUAGGGGGCACUCCCCCUGAAUGACCAAAGCUUAAUGUGCUAGAAAGAUGGUCUCGCGUCUGAUUAGCUAGAUGGGCGGGGUAACGGCCCACCAUGGCGACGAUCAGUAGCCGGUCUGAGAGGAUGAACGGCCACAUUGGGACUGAGAUACGGCCCAGACUCCGUACGGGAGGCAGCAGGUGGGGAAUAUUGCACAAUGGGGGAAACCCUGAUGCAGCAAUGCCGCGUGAGGGAAGACGGUCUUCGGAUUGUAAACCUAAGUUGUCAGGGACGAAACAUGACGGUACCUGAAGAGAAAGCUCCGGCUAACUACGUG